AAAAGCUUAAGUUAACAAAACUAUAAGCCUUCAAAGCUUAAAAUAUAGAAAAUCUAUAGCUUUUA
rnacentral:tRNA from 1 species